rnacentral:lncRNA from 1 species
GGCUUCGAGUGGACGAUCUGUAGAGGUUGAACGAUCAGUGUGGCUGCUCGACAUCAACAAGAGCUUCAUACCAUAUCUAUCAACAAUCAAGAUCAUCGACCCAUAAAAAAGUAAUGAGUUUUGAACUCAAUCAAUAUGAUUUAUAGGUUAGAUCAAAUUCAAGGCAUCGAUGUGAUCGAUGUAUUUUUCUGUUUUAUAUCAGAUUUUAUACAUAAAUUUUUUAUGUCAUAGAUCCUUAAUGGUAAUUUAAAUCUGAUCUAAGAUAUGUUUAGAAGAUUAAAGUGUUUAAUCUUUUAUUUUUUUACUGUAAAAUUUUAGAAAUACAUGCUUUGAACUGCUCAUUUUUUCUUCACUAACUAGAAUCUUCUUCCCUCUAUAGAAAAUAUCUGCUUCCAACCCACUCGCCCGUAUCCUAAAAACCAACUGCAUGAUUGGACCUAAUUACAAGGGUUGGCUUCAGAACUUAAAGAUAGUCUUGAGUUUCAAAAAGCUGAGCUAUGUACUCGAUCAGGAUUUUUCUGCUCUACCAACCUGUCCAACCCUUGAUCAAAGGGCUACCCACAAGAAGUGAUUGGACGAUGAUAAUAAAGCCCGAUGCUACAUGCUGGCUUCUAUCUAAUGAGCUCCAACACC